rnacentral:tRNA from 1 species
UGGGCAUGUAGCUCAGUGGAUAGAGUGCCAGGUUCCGGUCCUGUAGGUCGGGGGUUCGAAUCCCUCCAUGCUCGU